UACCUGGUUGAUCCUGCCAGUAGUCAUAUGCUUGUCUCAAAGAUUAAGCCAUGCAUGUGUAAGCACACACUGUUUUAAAAGUGAAGCCGCGAAUGGCUCAUUACAACAGCCACAGUUUAUUAGAACUUACAAUCAUGGAUAACUGUGGUAAUUCUAGAGCUAAUACACGCACAAAAACUUCAACUGAAUUGGUUGAAGUGCUUUUAUUAGAACAAAAACCGAACGGCGUUUGAUGAAUGUUGAACGUCGAAACUGUUUGGUGAAUCUGAAUAACUAUUUCUGAUCGCAUGGUCUAGCACCGGCGACAUCACUUUCAAGUGUCUGCCUUAUCAACCUUCGAUGGUAGUCUAUGCGACUACCAUGGUGAUAACGGGUAACGGAGAAUCAGGGUUCGACUCCGGAGAGGGAGCCUGAGAAACGGCUACCACAUCCAAGGAAGGCAGCAGGCGCGCAAAUUACCCACUCCCAGCUUGGGGAGGUAGUGACGAAAAAUAACGAGACGAUUCUCGUUUGAGAAACGUUAUCGAAAUGAGUACGCUUUACACACGCUAACGAGUAGCAAUUGGAGGGCAAGUCUGGUGCCAGCAGCCGCGGUAAUUCCAGCUCCAAUAGCGUAUAUUAAAGUUGCUGCGGUUAAAACGCUCGUAGUUGAAUUGUGGUCUUAGACAACAGUCCCCCUACAUAGGUGUGGCACGGUUGCUCGAGAUCUUCAUUCGUGGUUGCUGUUGUUGCUCUUCAUUGAGUGUCAAUGGUGCCUCGAGAUUUUACUUUGAAAAAAUUAGAGUGCUCAAAGCAGGUUGUGAUGCCUGAAUAAUGGUGCAUGGAAUAAUAGAAUACGAUCUCGGUUCUAUUUUGUUGGUUUUCGAACCGGAGAUAAUGAUUGAAAGGAACAGACGGGGGCAUUCGUAUUGCUGCGUUAGAGGUGAAAUUCUUGGAUCGCAGCAAGAUGAACAAUUGCGAAAGCAUUUGCCAAGAAUGUUUUCAUUAAUCAAGAACGAAAGUUAGAGGUUCGAAGGCGAUCAGAUACCGCCCUAGUUCUAACGGUAAACUAUGCCAACCAGCGAUUCGCCGAAGUUCAUUUAAGACUCGGCGAGCAGCUUCCGGGAAACCAAAGUGUUUCGGUUCCGGGGGAAGUAUGGUUGCAAAGCUGAAACUUAAAGGAAUUGACGGAAGGGCACCACCAGGAGUGGAGCCUGCGGCUUAAUUUGACUCAACACGGGAAAACUCACCCGGCCCGGACACUGGAAGGAUUGACAGAUUGACAGCUCUUUCUUGAUUCAGUGGGUAGUGGUGCAUGGCCGUUCUUAGUUGGUGGAGCGAUUUGUCUGGUUAAUUCCGAUAACGAACGAGACUCUACCCUAUUAAAUAGUGACAGUAUUGUAUUUUUUGUGCUGAUCACUUCUUAGAGGGACUGGCAAAUUGAAAGCUGCACGAAAAAGAGCAAUAACAGGUCUGUGAUGCCCUUCGAUGUCCGGGGGCUGCACGCGCGCUACAAUGAAAGCGUCAACGUGAGUUACGUCCUUACCUGAAAGGGUUUGGCAAUCGAAUGAAACGUUUUCUUGAAUGGAAUUGCAAUUGUUUCCCUUGAACGAGGAAUUCCCAGUAAGCGUGAGUCAUUAGCUCGAGUUGAUUACUUCCCUGCCCUUUGUGCACACCACCCAUCGCUACUACCGAUUGGAUGAUUUAGUGAGGUGUUUUGACUGGCGCCAGUAGUCGGAUAUGUAUUCGGUUUCGCGCCGGCAAAUUUCCCAAACCAAAUCAUCUAGAGCAGGGGUAGCCAAAGUGGUCAAUAUCGACCCCUUGGGGUCGAUGGGACUCUCUAAGGGAUCGAUA
rfam:Trichinella patagoniensis scaffold239s, whole genome shotgun sequence.